AUUGAACGCUGGCGGCAGGCCUAACACAUGCAAGUCGAACGAGUGGCGGACGGGUGAGUAAUGUCUGGGAAACUGCCUGAUGGAGGGGGAUAACUACUGGAAACGGUAGCUAAUACCGCAUACCAUCAGAUGUGCCCAGGUGGGAUUAGCUAGUUGGUGGGGUAACGGCUCACCAAGGCGACGCUCCCUAGCUGGUCUGAGAGGAUGACCAGCCACGCUGGAACUGGGACGCGGUCCAGGAUCCUACGGAAGGCAGGAGUGGGGAAUAUUGCACAAUGGCUGCAGGCCUGAUGGAGCCAUGCCGCGUGUAUGACGAAGGCCUUCGGGUUGUAAAGUACUUUCAGCGGAGAGGCGUUACCCACAGAAGAAGAACCGGCUAACUCCGUGCGAGCAGCCGCGGUAAUUC
rnacentral:rRNA from 1 species